GAUGAACGCUGGCGGCGUGCCUAACACAUGCAAGUCGAACGAAGCGAUUUUGCGGAAGUUUUCGGAUGGAAGUAAGAUUGACUGAGUGGCGGACGGGUGAGUAACGCGUGGGUAACCUGCCUCACACUGGGGGACAACAGUUAGAAAUGACUGCUAAUACCGCAUAAGCGCGCGAUAUCGCAUGAUAUUGUGUGAAAAACUCCGGUGGUGUGAGAUGGACCCGCGUCUGAUUAGAUAGUUGGUGGGGUAACGGCCUACCAAGUCGACGAUCAGUAGCCGACCUGAGAGGGUGACCGGGCCACAUUGGGACUGAGACACGGGCCCAAACUCCUACGGGAGGCAGCAGUGGGGAAUAUUGCACAAUGGGGGAAACCCUGAUGGCAGCGAGCCGCGUGAGUGAAGAAGUAUUUCGGGUAUGU
rnacentral:rRNA from 1 species